rnacentral:rRNA from 1 species
UUUAUGGAAGAAUUUAAUUUUGGUUCUGAUUGAACGCUUUCCAGUAGUUUAAGGCAUGCAAAUUUUUAUUAACAAAAAUUAAUAAAGUGUAGGGGUGAGUAUAUUAAAUAAAGAAACACUAUAGACUUCAUAAAUAGAAGAUAUAAAUAAAGGAAAGUUUCUGCUAUAGAAUUCGAUUUAAUUUGAUUAGGUAGUUGAUAGGGUAAAGGCCUACCAAGCCAACGAUCGAAAGCCAUGUUUGAUAGAUCAUAUGGCCACAUUGGGAAUGAAAUAUCCCAAGUAGAGAACUCUACCAGCAGUCGAGAAUAUUAGUCAAUGCUCGUAAGAGUGAACUAGCUAACUGGAAUCAUGAGUGUGUCACUUGUGAUAAGGUAAAGGAAAAAUGAUGAUGUCACUUUACUAGUAGUGUUGUCCAAAGCUGGUGCCAGAAGACUCGGUAAUGCCAGAGACGCAAGCGUUAGUCAUCCUGAUCAGGCGUAAAGGGUUUGUAGGCAGCUUUAAAUUAAUUAAAGAUAGAAUCAUAUAGAGGUCACUUUUAGAUAAUUCUUAGAGUAGGGUUGAUAUCUGUAGAUACUAAGAGGAAUACUAAUUAGCGAAGGCACUUUUCCAAAUAAUGAUUGACGCUGAGAAACGAAGGGGAGGAUAGAAAAUAGGAUUAGAUACCCUCGUAUCCCUCUCUGUCAACGAUGAAUGGUAGUUGCUAGUAUAAAUUAUUAGUGGCGAUGCUAACGCGUUAACCAUUCCGCCUUGUGAGUACGACUGCAAAGUUGAAAACAAAAAAAUUAGUCGGUUUCGGAGCAAACGAAGUGAAGCAUGUUAUUUAAUACGAUAAUCCGCGUAAAACCUUACCAGUAAUUGUAUAUAUUUAGAACUUAAUUAAAAUUAAGUAAUUAAUAUUACAGGUGUUGCAUGGCUGUCGUCAGUCCGUAUCGUGAGAAGUGAGGUUAACUCCGCUAACGGACGAAAUCCCUGUUUUUAAUUAAAUCUUAAAAAUUUAUGAAAUUGAUAGAAUUUCAUUUGGGGCUAAGACAAGUCGUUAUGGCUCUCAUGUACUGGGCUAUAGACGUGCCACAAAAACUUUUACAAAGUGAUGCAAAACUGUUUCUCUAUUUUGAAAUUAAGGAAGAGCUAAUCAUUAAAGAAAGUUUAAUAUAAAUAUACACGGAUUGUUAUCUGCAAUUCGAUGACAUGAAGAAGGAAUUUCGAGUAAUCGUUGAUAAUAAAACGCAACGGUGAAAUUUGCAUCCGUGAUGAACUAACUGUCUGUCGCUGGGAAGAAGUUUGAGUAGGAGGAAAAUGGAGUUAAGUGAAAUUUCUUAGAAAAGUAUAGUUUAUAUAAUGAAAGUUUUAAAUAUUAAUAUUUUAUACAUUACUACUACUAUGUUAGUAAUAACUUAUUUGUUUUAAUUUAAUUAAACAUCUCUUCUUAAAUUAAUUAACUCUUUUUAAUUCACUUGGAUAACAUCUCAAAAGUCAUAGCAAGGUAGUCGUACUGGAAGGUGCGGCUGGAAAUUAAAAUUC